UACGUAGGGCGCGAGCGUUGUCCGGAAUUAUUGGGCGUAAAGGGCUUGUAGGCGGUUGGUCGCGUCUGCCGUGAAAUCCUCUGGCUUAACUGGGGGCGUGCGGUGGGUACGGGCUGACUUGAGUGCGGUAGGGGAGACUGGAACUCCUGGUGUAGCGGUGGAAUGCGCAGAUAUCAGGAAGAACACCGGUGGCGAAGGCGGGUCUCUGGGCCGUUACUGACGCUGAGGAGCGAAAGCGUGGGGAGCGAACAGGAUUAGAUACCCUGGUAGUCCACGCUGUAAACGUUGGGCACUAGGUGUGGGGGCCACCCGUGGUUUCUGCGCCGUAGCUAACGCUUUAAGUGCCCCGCCUGGGGAGUACGGCCGCAAGGCUAAAACUCAAAGGAAUUGACGGGGGCCCGCACAAGCGGCGGAGCAUGCGGAUUAAUUCGAUGCAACGCGAAGAACCUUACCAAGGCUUGACAUGCACGGCGGCACUGCAGAGAUGUGGUGGCAUUUAGUUGGUCGUGUGCAGGUGGUGCAUGGUUGUCGUCAGCUC
rnacentral:rRNA from 1 species